CUCUAGGCAAGAAUACUGGAGUGGGUAGCUAUGUCCUUCUCCAGGGGACCUUCCCGAUCCAGGAAUCAAACGUGGGUCUCCUGCAUUGACGGCAGAUUCUCUACUGUCUGAGCCACCAAGGAAGCUUCAGAUAUUCCCCCAAAGGGCACUUUAUUACUGGGAUUUGGGGAAACUGUUUCCUGUUCCUAAAACAAAUACAUUGAGAAAAGAGGAAAUUUUCUUCUUCCUAAUGUCCCCUCAGACUGAUGCCCUUAUAGCCCUUACAUAUAGUGAUUUAUUGGAAACUGUUUUUGAUACAAAAAUCUGAGCUCAUUCUUCUCUAAAAGCAUCUUUUUUACUGACCUUUAUUGGUUUCAGUACUGUUUCAGUUGGUGUACUUGUCUUAUUUACAGCUCUUUGCUGACUGAAGAAAUCCAGCUUUAUUUUUACAUCAGUAGUUUAUUCACAAUGAUACAGUAUGGGAUUUUAUUUCAUGCACUCCUGUAUGUGAGUUACAUUUCAGAUAUUAGUGGGGGAAAAAACUAGCCUGAGAAUUGGGAAUUUACAUGUGUGUUUAUCCCACAGUUUUCCUCACAAUUACAUAUUAAUCUUUAUUCUGUAGUUUAUAUUCCAGUGAUACCAUAUCAUUAAUGAUACCAUAUCAUUAACAUAGUGAUCUGAUUUCCUAUAUUCUCUAAAUCUCAAAAGUUGACUUAGGGACUAACCUGGUAGUCCAGUGGUUAAGAAUCCACCUUUCAAUGCAGGGGACAUAGGUUCAGUCUCGGGUCAGGGGGCUCAGAUCCCACAUGCCACGGGGCAGCUCAGCCUGUGCGCUGCAGCUGGAGAAAGCUGUGUGUAGCACGGGCGAGCCUGGGUGUGCAGCUAAGACCCAAGGCAGCCAAAGUAAUUAAUUUAAAAAGCUGAUUCAGUUAUCUUCUAUUGGGAGAGAGAUUCCAGUAUACUCUUUCCUCCAAUACUAAAUACGCCCAACCAGUUGGUAAAAGAAGUAAUAGAGGUUUCUUCCAUUGGUAAAAGAGGGAACUCUUGUUUUUAUUUUGCUUUAAAUAUAUAACAGGAAAAACCUUCUGGGAAACAUACCUGAUAUAAGAGUAAAUUGCCUGCCAGUGCUAAGCCUACUUGUUUUCUUUACCUUGAACCAGAAUAAUGAAAUACCUGAUACUUACCCAAACUUUAGCUUCUGGAAUGCCAAUUUCCUUGGACAGCUGUUUCCUGGUUGCUUGUUCAGGGUACAAAGCGUUCAAACCAUGCUUGGACGCUUUUGACUCUGGUUAUAAAUAAUCUUGCCUUGCCAGGGUUCUUUUUGUAGAAUGUCUGAUGAAGAGAAAAUGGGGAGAAGUAUGAAGGGUAUGUUUAUAGAUUAAAAACUGUGUGAGCAUGUAAUUUAUGUUCAGUUCAGAUUGAAAGUCUGUAAAUUCAAUGAUUAUUUUAUAUUUUUACUUUAAGGCUAUACCUAAAGUCAUUCUACACUGGAGAUAUGGGAAUUCCUUACUGUUCCAGUGUAAGGACUCUGUCCCCUCACUGCCAAGGGCUCAACUUCAAUCCCUGGUUGGGGAACUAAGAUCCUACAAACAGCCCAGCAUAGCCAAAAAAAAAAAAAAGGAGACAUAUAGGUCAAAUACACACACACACACACACACACACAUAUAUGAUACAAUAAGUAAAACACAGUCUGUUAUCUGAGUUACCAAAGCAAGAAAUUACUAGAAAUCCACAAAAUUAUGUGCAAAGAAAAUAGGAGUUAGGAAAAUAAAUGGAAAUAAGUGAAACAAGUAAAAUAAGGAAAAAAUUAAAGGGAUAAAUAAAAUAUACAAAACUUAUUUUGUGAUAAAGUUUAAUGUUUUAAGUCAUUAGGUAUCAUUAAUAUAGUAAAUCAUUAGGUAUAAUCAUUAAUAUAUUGUUAGAUAUAAGCUAAAUGUAAAAUAUUAUGUAUGCCAUAUAAAUUUUUCUCCAUUAAAAAUGUUAACUCUAAGACUUUUGAAAACCCACUUAUGGGACUCAGUGCUGCCUCUUAAAUAUGGGAUUCCAUUCUAUUAACUUCAGAGUACCCAUCAAUCCCCUGACACAACUUAUCACUGCAAACAGCACCUACUUCAACAAUCUGUUCCUCUAAUCAUAAUGGUGAUUUUACUUUUUAUAAACUCUGGAAAAUAAAGCAUGUGGUAUUACCAAAGAAAAGAGCAAAAGACCACUUGGAGUGCUGUUUUGAUCCAUCUUGGGAAGAGGUAUCCAGAUUCUGCAGAGAGGAGUGGACAGCUGAGCAGUUCCCCAAGACACAGGAUUUAUAAACACCCAGAACAGCCCACCCAUCUCUUAAAUACUCUCCUACUUAAUCCCUUCAAUAAAUAUUGAACACUUUUCAGAAGAAACUUGAAGUAAUCGGAUUAAGAGGAAAUACAGAGUCUACGAGAUUCUAAUUUUGCAUCAGUCAUAACGUCGUUCCAUAUAUGACUUAAAAUCUGUGCUUUCUAGUUUAUAAUACAUAAAUAUGUAUACAUUGGUAUAAUUGCUUUGUUCUGUAUAGUUUUUAAUACUUUUGUUUCUUAAUUAUUUUGGCUUGAUGAUAUUAUCUUAAUAUUAUAUGGAUAUCCCUACUCUGUAUUCUAUUUUCCUUAGCUGUUACAGAAACAGUUUUUCCAUCAUUGAUAUUGUUUAUGUGUUAUCAUGGUUAAAAAACUAAUCUUAGUGUUGCUGUGAAGGUAUUCUGUAAGUUGAUUGAUUGUAAAUUCAACAAUGUGUGUCUGAUUCCAUUUCCAUGGUACAUCCAGGAUGGACAAAUCCAUAGAGACGGAAAGUAGGUUAGCGGUUUCUAGGGAGUGGAGAGAAUGCGGACUGACUGCUAAUUGAUAGGGGAUUUCUUUUUAUAGGUUAUGGAAGUUUUAAAAAAUUAGCUCUUGUUUUGGUUGAGGGUGGCACAACUCUUUGACUCUGCUGAAAACCACUGGAUUGCAUACCCUAAAAGGAUACAUUUCAUGGUAAAUAAAUUAUACUUUUAAUAAAAUUUAUAAUAAAAGAAUAGUUUAUAAAAACAUAAUGGAGGGGCUUAUGAAGUAUCCUGCCACCUGGAUAAGUGCAAAUGCAGAGGAAACUUUCCAGAAACAUCUCAAAAUUGUUUAAAAUGAAAGUGUAAGUUAAGGAGUUAAUAUAGUGAAAUUUAAUGCCAUUCGUAUUAACACUUGUUAACACUGAUCACAUGCUUAGAUUAAAAGAGGACUAGUUGACUAUAAGUUGAAUAUUUAUGUAAAGUACCUUUCACCAGAAAAAAAAAUUUAAAUAUGCAUUUAAUUUUGUGAAUAGUUUCAGUUUUUCAAGUGAGGAUAUGAACACAUAUGAAAAUUUCAAAAAUAUGAAAUGAAUAAUAUGAUUAUGUUGAAAAUAAAAGGACAUUAAAACAUCACUCAAAAACAUCCAUUCGUUUCCAAAUUAUUCAUUUUCUUUGUUCAGUCAAAUGGAAAAUGACAUCAAUAUAAGGAGCAUCACUUUGUUUAUUGACCAACAGAUGUUGUAUAUCAUUCUAUAUCUUCAUGCUGUUUUCCCUUGACUCCCAGACUUGAUAAAAAUCAACAUGCCACUGAAUUCUGCUGCUCUAAAAUCUGAGGUGUCUGAGUGCUAUAGGAGAAAUAUCCAGUUCUCAGACAUCCUGAAGUUGGAUUCAACCAUAAUUCAAAAUUCAUAAACUUAUGCCUAUUACAUCAAGAGGAAUAAAAACAAAGUUAUAAUUCCCCAGUGGCUCAGAUGGUAAAGAAUCUGCCUGCAACGCGGGAGACCUGGGUUCGAUCCCUAGGCUGGGAAGAUCCCCUGGAGAAGGGAACGGCUACCUACUCCAGUAUUCUUGCCUGGGAACUGCCAUGGACAGAGGAGACUGGCAGCCUACAGUCCAUGGGGUCGCAAAGAGUGGACACAGCUGGGCGACCAAGCACCGCACAGCGCAGCACAUAAGGAAACGCACAAUUGCAAAUAAAAGAUAAAGGAUGAAAAACAGAUUGGUGGGCAUCGUGCCCAGAAUAAUGUGCUGAGAGACAGGUGUUUGCUAGGAGGUAAUUUGCCUGGACCUGAGUUGGGCUUGUCCUGGACACCAUGAGAUCACCCAAGCAAAUUUCAUAUCAAGGGACAUUUCAGAUAAAUCAGUCAGUACUCAGAGAGAAAGGGAUCAGGACCCUGAACAAAAUCUUCUCCUUCAGUCGUAUCCUUGCCAUGGGCUGGCCUGGCUGGAAAGUGCUGGGUUUGACCUGUUAACUGGGUGGGGUCCCGCCUGGGGCACAUUUCAGUGUUAAGAGUAAAGUUGUGUCUUAGGGAGCCUCCUGGGGAGUUUAGCUUGAGCUUUAGGGCUAAGUCUGAGUUCAGUGAACCUCUUACUAUUUUGGUGACUUUUUUUUCUUCUACACCAAACUUAACAGAAACAUGUUUCUUGAAAGAUUGCUUUGGGGGAUGUUAAUCUGGGUUAUGGCGCUGAUGGAGGGCGGGUAGAGACCAUCGCCUCCUGAGAAGGCUGCGUUUGGAGGAACGCGCCCGCUCUGAGCUGCUCAUACAGGCCCAGAACUCGGUUCUGAGGGUGAAGGGCUGCAGAACUCCCAGGGGCUGUCAGUACAAAAACCACACACGCUGAAUGCUGAAGAAAGUGAUGCUGGGCCAUGUAAAAUGUUUCACAACCUACUUUUUUCUUAAAUCAAAAAUC